ensembl:snRNA U6 U6 spliceosomal RNA
GUGCUCACUUAAGCAGCACAUGUACUAAAAUUGGAACUAUACAGAGAUUAGGAUGGCCCCUGUACAAGUAUGACAUGCAAAUUUGUGAAACAGUCCAUAUUUUU